UCUUUUGCUGAUACUGUUACUACUACCGCUAUUGAAUGAAAUCACCACUCUCUCUGGUGUCUUGAAUACUGACACUAUUACAUUGACAUCAUCAUCUAUGUGACGGAAUUGAACAAUCUAAAUCAAGCCUUCAUCCAUCAACUGAUGGAUGUCCCUCUUCAUUAUUAUACAACCUCUAGGAUUAAUACUGCAGAUAGCAUAACCAUCAUGGUUAUGCUCACAAUCACUCACCAAGCAAAUAUCCUUGUGCAUCAUCACCAAGGACCUUCUAACGAAGCAUACAUCG
rnacentral:lncRNA from 1 species